GAUUGCAUCUAUGUUUAACCUUAAAUGCGCCCGAUCUCAUCUGAUCUUGGAAGCUAAGCAGUGUUGGGCCUGGUUAGUACGUGGAUGGGAGACCACCUGGGAAUACUAGGUGCUGUAGGCU
rnacentral:rRNA from 1 species